AACGAACGCUGGCGGCGUGCCUAACACAUGCAAGUCGAGCGAGAAAGCCCGCAAGGGUGAGUAAAGCGGCGCACGGGUGAGUAACACGUGGGUAAUCUGCCCUAGAGUCCGGAAUAACUCGCCGAAAGGCGUGCUAAUGCCGGAUGAGACCACGGGAGCCUCGGCUCCUGCGGGAAAAGGUGGCCUCUGUACACAAGCUAUCGCUCUAGGAUGAGCCCGCGGCCCAUCAGCUCGUUGGCGGGGUAAUGGCCCACCAAGGCUACGACGGGUAGCUGGUCUGAGAGGACGAUCAGCCACACUGGAACUGAGACACGGUCCAGACUCCUACGGGAGGCAGCAGUGGGGAAUCUUGCGCAAUGGGCGAAAGCCUGACGCAGCAACGCCGCGUGUGUGAUGAAGGUCUUCGGAUCGUAAAGCACUGUCGCGAGGGACGAAUAAGGGGCGGGUUAACAUCCCGUUCCGAUGACGGUACCUCGAGAGGAAGCACCGGCUAACUCUGUGCCAGCAGCCGCGGUAAUACAGAGGGUGCGAGCGUUGUUCGGAAUUAUUGGGCGUAAAGCGCGUGUAGGCGGCCUUGCAAGUUGGGUGUGAAAGCCCUCGGCUUAACCGAGGAAGUGCGCCCAAAACUACGAGGCUUGAGUGCCGGAGAGGGUGGCGGAAUUCCCGGUGUAGAGGUGAAAUUCGUAGAUAUCGGGAGGAACACCAGUGGCGAAGGCGGCCACCUGGACGGUAACUGACGCUGAGACGCGAAAGCGUGGGGAGCAAACAGGAUUAGAUACCCUGGUAGUCCACGCUGUAAACGAUGAGCGCUAGGUGUUGUGGGUGUUGACCCCCGCAGUGCCGCAGCUAACGCAUUAAGCGCUCCGCCUGGGAAGUACGGCCGCAAGGCUA
rnacentral:rRNA from 1 species